GGUUGCGGCCAUAUCUACCAGAAAGCACCGUUUCCCGUCCGAUCAACUGUAGUUAAGCUGGUAAGAGCCUGACCGGGUAGGGUAG
rnacentral:rRNA from 1 species